UCUCACACACCCACACACACACACAUUUGCGUGGCUAUCUUUGUGGGGACUUUCCAUUGACUUCCAUUCAUUUCUGAACUCUUUCUCUAAUCGGAACCAAAACUCAAAUCACACCUUAGUCCUAAAUCUGACCCUUGACCCACAAACAGUGUUACAAAUGCACACACACAGGCUGCAGCGCCCCCUACUGGGCGGACUUUGACUGGUCCGUUUAUGAAUGAAGCAGCCCAAUCAGAACACACCAGAACCUGUGGACUCAAGUCAGAACUCUGAAUGAAAGAAGAGCUGGAUCCAUUUCAGGUCAGAACCCGUGUCCCUGCUGGACCGGGCCGGUUCCGCUCAGAACCAGGGCACCCAGCAUUCAUGGAGGCGGCUGGUGGGGGUCCAGCAGACGGUUCUGAUGAUGGCGGCUCCAGUAAACAUCAGAACCAAACCACCACAGAGCUUUCCAGAACAGAACCAGCUGAUCAACAAAAAAAAAAACAACAGACAGAAUAAAGGAGCAGAAGCUGCUGGCUCGUCCAAUCACAGGAGCAGAAGCUGCUGGCUCCUCCAAUCACAGGAGCAGAAGCUGCUGGCUCGUCCAAUCACAGGAGCAGAAGCUGCUGGCUCGUCCAAUCACAGGAGCAGAAGCUUUCAAACCCUAACCGGGCCAGAGGGAACGAUCGGAUCCAGCAGCUUCUGGAAACUUAAGAUGAGACAGAAAUUCACUGUAAGUGAACAAUGACUCUUGGUUAUUAAACAGCUGCCUUACAUACAUUAGAUUAUUUGUUUUCCAGUAGUCAACAUAGAGACGUUUAAUCUUGUAUAAAAUGUCCUUAUUAUGCCAGAUUAUACAUUUGUGAGGAGAAUAUUUGUGUUUGUAGAUCCAAACAUGGUUUGGACAGUUUGACUGGGAUUUUCUCAGGAUUAAAGUUACAGAGCAGAAGAAAAUCAAUUGAGAGAGAAUCUAGAAUUAGGACUGAAAUUCCAACACGAGGCAGAAUGACAGGUUUAAUCCAUCAGACCUAUAGUUUUGUUUAAAGUAGAAAAGUCUGGGAAAUUUAAAUCCCAUAUCAACUGGGUUCAUGAUAACAGACUUUUUAAUGUAACAGAUUUUGUGCUUCUAAAGAUAAUUGAAUAAUAAUAAUAACUGGUCAAAACUUUUACAGGUGUUGUUGUCUACAAAGAGAGGAGAGGCCAAAUAAACCAAACUAGAAGCCCUUCACAUCUGUUCAACCUGGUUCUGGUAUCAGCAGGAGAUUCCAACACAUCUGCUUUUAUCAUUUUUGUUGAUGGUGAUUCCGAAGUAUACAACAUUCUGCUUUAUGUUGCUUAUAGGAUAGAACAGAAUCCUUUGUAGCAAAAAGUUCAAAUAUAUUGACAUUUAGAAAGAAACUAGAAUCUGAAUAAUAUGAAAGGCUGGAGGAACUUGUUCAGAGUAGUGCUGUAGUGACUGAGACCGGUCUUGGUCUCCAGACUUUUUGAUGGUCUCGGGAUUUUAUUUCAAGACCACAACUGUGAAAAUGUCACUAAAUUGCCAGCAUAGUAUCAGUUUAUUUGUCAACAUCCUUGUUUUUACUGGGUGCAAAACAUACCGAUUAAAAUCAAAGCAAUAACGCCACUUAAUAAUGACGUGUUUCUGUUUCCGCUGUCAGCCAUCGCCUCCCCUUUAACUCGCGCGCGAUAUAUGUGCCUUAUACAGAAUUCCACUACUGUAAUUGCCUUAUUUGUUUCUGAUUAAUUUGUU